CCCAUGUAGCUCAGUAGGUAGAGCAUGGCGCUUGCAAUGCCAGGGUUGUGGGUUCGAUUCCCACGUGGGA
rnacentral:tRNA from 1 species